ACUGUUGCAAGCCUUGAAAAAUGAAUAAAAAUCUUCUCAUGUUUCCAGCAGGGAUAGGAAAAAAGUAACACUUAAAAAAAAAAAAAAAAAAAAAAAAAAAAAAAAAAUCACAGUUGUGGCCAGGCGCAGUGGCUCACGCCUGUAAUCCCAGCACUUUGAGAGGCCGAGGCGGGCGGAUCAUGGGGUCAGGAGAUCCAGACCAUCCUGGUUAACACGGU
rnacentral:lncRNA from 1 species